CUGAACCAGCCAAGUAGCGUGAAGGAUGACUGCCCUAUGGGUUGUAAACUUCUUUUAUACGGGAAUAAAGUGAGCCACGUGUGGCUUUUUGUAUGUACCGUAUGAAUAAGGAUCGGCUAACUCCGUGCCAGCAGCCGCGGUAAUACGGAGGAUCCGAGCGUUAUCCGGAUUUAUUGGGUUUAAAGGGAGCGUAGAUGGAUGGUUAAGUCAGUUGUGAAAGUUUGCGG
rnacentral:rRNA from 1 species